AUUUAACCUUUUAAAAUAUAUGAGCAAUAAAUAUUUAAGUUUCUAAUAACUCGUAUCUUUUUAAUUAAAAUCAUAGUUAACAAAGUUUGUGGAACAUUAAUAUGCUGGUUUCAUAACAGGCUGCCUGAUAGAUUGUCAAUAACUUGGCCUGAAGGAGAUGAAUUAUUGCCUAAUGAAAUUAGGCCUGCUGGAACCCCUAUUGGUGCAUUAAGAAUUGAAAUACUGAAUAAAAAAGGGGAAGCAAUGCAAAAGCUUCCAGGAACAAGCCACGGAGGGUCAAAGAAACUCCUGGUUGAGCUCAAAGUUAUUUUACAUUCUUCAAGUGGAAAUAAAGAGAUUAUUUCGCAUAUUAGUCAACAUGGAGGAAAAUGGCCUUACUGGUUUAAAAAAAUGGGUGAGUUCUUAUUCUGAAUGUUAAAAAAUACAUUGGUAUUGUGUUGACUUGAUUUUUAAUUUCUUCUUAAUUUAUCCAGAAAAUAUUCAGAAGUUGGGGAAUUAUACCUUGAAAUUACAAGUUGUAUUGAAUGAAAGUAAUGCAGACACUUAUGCAGGAAGACCACUACCAUCUAAAGCAAUUAAGUUUUCUGUUAAAGAGGGUAAGCCAGAGAAAUUUUCAUUUGGUCUU
rnacentral:sRNA from 1 species